rnacentral:rRNA from 1 species
AUUGAACGCUGGCGGAAUGCUUUACACAUGCAAGUCGAACGGCAGCACGGGGGCAACCCUGGUGGCGAGUGGCGAACGGGUGAGUAAUGCAUCGGAACGUACCCUAUCGUGGGGGAUAACUAUCCGAAAGGAUGGCUAAUACCGCAUACGACCUGAGGGUGAAAGCAGGGGAUCGCAAGACCUUGCGCGAUAGGAGCGGCCGAUGCCGGAUUAGCUAGUUGGUGAGGUAAAGGCUCACCAAGGCGACGAUCCGUAGCUGGUCUGAGAGGACGACCAGCCACACUGGGACUGAGACACGGCCCAGACUCCUACGGGAGGCAGCAGUGGGGAAUUUUGGACAAUGGGCGAAAGCCUGAUCCAGCCAUUCCGCGUGAGUGAAGGAGGCCUUCGGGUUGUAAAGCUCUUUCGGCAGGAACGAAACGGUAGGCCACUAAUACUGGCUACUAAUGACGGUACCUGAAGAAGAAGCACCGGCUAACUACGUGCCAGCAGCCGCGGUAAU